CCUACGGGAGGCAGCAGUGGGGGAUAUUGCACAAUGGGGGAAACCCUGAUGCAGCGACGCCGCGUGUGGGAAGACGGUCUUCUGUAUUUUAAACCACUGUCCCCAGGGACGAAAAUGACGGUACCGGGGGAGGAAGCUCCGGCUAACUACGGGCCAGCACCCGCGGUAAUACGUAGGGAGCAAGCUUUGUCCGGAAUUACUGGGGGUAAAGGGAGCGUAGGCGGGGAUGAAAGUUGGGGGUAAAAACUACCGGCUCAACCGAGAGUCGCACUGAAAACUGCAAGGCUUGAGUGAAGUAGAGGCAGGCGGAAUUCCUAGUGUAGCGGUGAAAUGCGUAGAUAUUGGGAGGAACACCAGUGGCGAAGGCGGCCUGCUGGGCUUUUACUGACGCUGAGGCUCGAAAGUGUGGGGAGCAAACAGGAUUAGAUACCCGGGUAGUC
rnacentral:rRNA from 1 species